rnacentral:lncRNA from 1 species
GGGGGGGUUGGAGACCCCAAAGGUGGGGGUUGGGGGGGGGGUGGGAGCCAAAAAGUGACCCCAUGUUGGGUGCAGAUGAGGGUUGGGGGCACCACGAUGCGUUUGCAGGGGGGGCUGACCCGGCUGACCCCUAUGGAUGUCUCUAUGUGGGGUGGUGGGGGGAUACCACGAUGGGUCUGACCCCAAAAUCAGUGGGGUUGGGGUUGGAGGGGGUCCAGAAGACCCCAAAGGUGGGGGUGGGACCCAAAAAUGACCCCAUGUUGGGUGCAGAUGAGGGUUGGGGGCACCACGAUGCGUCUGCAGGGGGGGCUGAACCGGCUGACCCCUAUGGAUGUCUCUAUGUGGGGUGGUGGGGGGAUACCACGAUGGGUCUGACCCCAAAAUCAGUG